rnacentral:rRNA from 1 species
ANGCCCUACGGGGGAAAAAUUUAUUGCUAUUAGAUGAGCCUAUAUUAGAUUAGUUAGUUGGUGAGGUAAAGGCUUACCAAGACAAUGAUCUAUAGCUGAUCUGAGAGGAUGAUCAGCCACACUGGAACUGAGAUACGGUCCAGACUCCUACGGGAGGCAGCAGUGGGGAAUAUUGGACAAUGGGCGAAAGCCUGAUCCAGCCAUGCCGCAUGAGUGAAGAAGGCCUUCGGGUUGUAAAGCCCUUUUAGUGAGGAAGAUAAUGACGGUACUCACAGAAGAAGUCCUGGCUAACUCCGUGCCAGCAGCCGCGGUAAUACGGAGAGGGCUAGCGUUAUUCGGAAUCAUUGGGCGUAAAGGGCGCGUAGGCGGGUUAGUAAGUUAAAAGUGAAAUCCCAAGGCUCAACCUUGGAACUGCUUUUAAAACUGCUAGUCUAGAGAUUGAAAGAGGAUAGAGGAAUUCCUAGUGUAGAGAUGAAAUUCGUAAAUAUUAGGAGGAACACCAGUGGCGAAGGCGUCUAUCUGGUUCAAAUCUGACGCUGAGGCGCGAAGGCGUGGGGAGCAAACAGGAUUAGAUACCCUGGUAGUCCACGCUGUAAACGAUGAAUGUUAAAUAUGGGAAGUUUACUUUCUGUAUUAUAGCUAACGCGUUAAACAUUCCGCCUGGGGACUACNGUCGCAAGAUUAAAACUCAAAGGAAUUGACNGGGNCCCGCACAAGCGGUGGAGCAUGUGGUUUAAUUCGAUGCAACGC